rnacentral:rRNA from 1 species
CCUGGCUCAGAUUGAACGCUGGCGGCAUGCUUUACACAUGCAAGUCGAACGGUAACAGGGAGCUUGCUCCGCUGACGAGUGGCGAACGGGUGAGUAAUGCAUCGGAACGUACCCAGUCGUGGGGGAUAACGUAGCGAAAGUUACGCUAAUACCGCAUACGUCCUGAGGGAGAAAAGCGGGGGACCGUAAGGCCUCGCGCGAUUGGAGCGGCCGAUGUCGGAUUAGCUAGUUGGUAGGGUAAAGGCCUACCAAGGCGACGAUCCGUAGCGGGUCUGAGAGGAUGAUCCGCCACACUGGGACUGAGACACGGCCCAGACUCCUACGGGAGGCAGCAGUGGGGAAUUUUGGACAAUGGGCGAAAGCCUGAUCCAGCCAUGCCGCGUGAGUGAAGAAGGCCUCGGUGU